GCUACUUAUAUUGCUCUUCCUCUAUAUUACCCUAUUAUAAAAAAGAGAGAUCAGAGUUACAUCAGGAUUGCUUCCAGGUGCAUAGUUUGCUUAGUAGGUUUAAUGGAUUAGUAUCUGGCAAUUAUGAGUUUUAUCUGAUAUUUUCCAUUUUCCUGCAAGCUGAUUCACUGCAUAGUCAUUAUUCAGAGUAUAUCACUACCAGCUACAAAAUGGCACGGGUGUGAUUCAUCUAUGGUCUUAUCAGCAAAAUCACUUUCUCAGUGGAGAAAAUUCUAUCUGGGGAAGGUAGGAGUAACAACGCAGCUUCCUUAGCAGUGGAAGAGUGCUAAAACUGGUUUGCAUGAUCCAGAAAGUGGCUCUGCUAGCUUGGAAGGGGCUUCCAGGGUACAGAGCAAAAACACCACCGCAGGCAGUGAAAAUUAUUUUAUUCCUGAUGAGGCUUUUGGAAGAAACCACAACCCUUUUACAUCACUUUGUAUCCAGAAUUUUUCCCUCGGAAGGAAGUGAGACAUGUAAGCAAAAUCCUGCCUUACUGAUUUAAUGAAUUCUAAUGCUGCCCACAGUUCCUGUAGACACUGGCAUUUGUUACGCAGAGGCAUUUCUAUUUUUCAAGUUUCCUAGGGGCCCCACACCCAUGGAGUCAGCACGGAUUACAUCAUGGAGGCAUUGGACAGUUAGGGAGGCGGUCCUGCAUUUCCAAGUCGGAGCAGAAGUGGUGUCAUGCUUCUCAAUGCAGCUGAGACGUGCGCAAUAAGCGGGAAGACCAACCCUUCAGACCAGUGCAAUACAAUAAACCGUAACCUAGUGAUGUGGGUGUGACCUCAUGUUGAGGACUGUACACAAUGGAUUCAGAUGGUAGCUAUUAAUGGCUAUUUGCUAUUAAAGGCUGGUGAGCGGUACAGAGUGAGUGGGUUAUUUUAGUGGAUGACAUAUAAAAAACAUCUAGAGCUUCAAAUGUACAGCAUCACAGUGGCAGAAACGCAAAACUCAGAAUGGGAAGGGAUCGGGAGAGAAGAAAAAGCAUACUGCUGCCCAGCCACAAGGCUUCUGCAUGCCUUGAGGCCUGACCUACUGCUCGUCCUUCACUGAGAAUCCAGGUACUUCAAAUAUUUAACUAGAAGGACUGGCAUUGCUGGACUCUCACUCUUAUUAGCAUAGCCAUAUCUUUCAUUGCUGCUCCCUGUGCUCACAUCCAUCUGUGAAGACCAGUAAGAUUUUGAACAACAACAAAAAGAUAAUUAUCUCAUCAUAUAGAGAAUUGUCAUGGUAGGAACUUUGGCACAAGUUUCUUCCAAGAAAAAAAAAAAAAAAAACAAAACAUAGAUAUUUUGCAUUGGGACAGCAUAUAUGGGAAACGUACCCCACUGGAAACAUGCUUAGUCCCUGUGCAUUCAGGCUUCCUUGUAGUCUACCCAGAAGUUAAAACCUUACCAAAAACAGUGCUAAGAAGGAUCCAAAAUUAUGCCCCCCUCCCACGAAGCACUUUAGUUUACAUCUUGAGCUGCUAAUGUUAAUCAAAUAUCAGAAGUUCAGUUUUAGAAGCAGCAAAAAAUCUACCCUAUAGAGAAAUCUUUGCAGUAUUCAGACAACGAAUAAACUUUGAAGUUAAAGUUUCAUAUUUGGGAAGCCCAAUGCAAUUUGAAGUUUUGUGUGCUUUUUAAAGUUGAAAUAACAUCUUGGAGCAAUUCCAACUUCAUCUAUUACACAUUUGUGUUUUAGUCCUCUAAUUUAUAUCUUUCUAUCACUGUAAUGCACACCUUAAGGAUUAUCUCAAGUCUACUUUGAGCUCCAAAGCAGUGUUGUUCCUUUAUCCUCUAGCUAAAGAGAGGGCUGUUGUAUGCCUUUGAGAACAGAUAGGUGCACUAGGUUUGCUCACUCCAGAACGCUGUGAACCAGUUGGCCAUCCUAGUACUUCAAAUUCUACUAGGCGUUGUGCGUUUCCCCAUAAUGCCCCAAGGCCUUUCAAUUCUUACAAUGUUCCCCUCCAUGAAGGAACUCCAUAUCUAAGGAUUAGUGGCACAUACCUUUCUCAAGUGAAAGACAAAUAUUCAGACUAGCCCUUAGUCAACAAAUCUACUAUCAAGUAUGUUCUCUUCCUAUCAAGUUCUCUGUUCUUUCAGGUAAUUAUUGUCCAGCAUUCACAAUAAUCUAGAAACAGUUUUAUUUCCACUGGCAAAUAGAAGAUCUGUUAAUAAUUGAGUAACUUAGUUUUAAACUUACUCUGUAUUUUGAUAAACUUCUACUGAGAUGUUAAGUCCUUCUAAUUCCUCCUUUAAGAUCUGCAGGUCCGAGUUUACAAAACUUAGUUCCAGUAGUACCUGUUCUCGUACUUUGUUGUUGGUGGUAGCCCUGCAGAAAGAAGAAGUGAUUUUUUUUUUUUAUUGCUGAGAAACAGGUUUUGUAUGAAAGCUUUGCUGACCCCCUUGCUAGCAUUCUCAACAUUUUUAAGAUUUUUUUUUAUCCCCUUAAGAGAUGAUACAAGACCUCAUGUUUCAAAAUUUAUUAGUGUUACUGUCAAGAGAGAAAGAUAGUUUCCAGCUAAUAGCAUGCAGACACCUAGAAGAUUUUUCAUGUGCUAUUUUUUGUGAGAUUAAGGCUCAAUUUCUUUUUCAGAUACAUUAAUCAAUAACAAUAAAGCAUUUUAAACAGAAUCACUAUCCCAUUUUAGGAUUAUGCAGUCUCUUCCUAUAAGAUAUUAGGGUGGGGAGGAGAAUCCAAAAAUAUUUUUUCAAAAGAGACUUUCCCACUUUGUUUAACUAAGUAAUGAUCUGCUGAGACUUCUGAUCUUAACAAUAAAGAAAACAAUGUUUCCAUAAAACAGUUAUUACAGAAUGUUUUACAACCAAGUAUACAGGUAGAAAAGUUUCUUUGUAAUACAGUCUGAUUUUCUCUAUAAUUCUUUUUUUUUUCUGAAGCAAAUAGGAUUUUUUCAUUUGUUUCCUUUGCCAUCUAUAUAUUUACAUUAUAACUUCUUGAACUGCUAGCACUGCAGGUAUUAAUACAAGCCCUAGAGCAUUUCUGCGUGAUUUGCUAUUUGCAUGUUUCAGGACAUUAUACGCCUAUUUCUAACCCGAUUCUCCAUACAGUAUUACUGUUUACAAGAGACUUGAACUAUUACCAAUAAACACAGAUGUGAGUUUGAGAUAAAAAGCAAGUUUUUUGUUGUCUAAUUUGCAGCAUUUUGUCUUUACCUUUAAGUUAAAAUUAACCUCCAUAAAUAGUUAUGAACAAUCUUCUCAUACAUCUGGUUCUACUGGGCACAUCCUUCAGUUUUGCUGAGCAUCUGGGUGAAGAACUGCAUAUCCCAAGGCUACAAUUCUAAGCUUGUACUUCAUAUUUUAAAUAGACAUUAUCUGUAUGUUUUCCAUAUUGAACUUCACUGGAUUCCUGAGAUUGCUUAGAUUAAGCACAGUUAAAAUUUGCUGCCUGCAUUACCCACGCUGGAUGUAAAUUCAGAAUUGCGUGAAUCUUGAGCACCACAUAAAUAGAUGGUCAAGCUUUGAUGAUAGCUGCAAUUUAAUUAUGAUGUUAUUGAGGCUCAAUGGUUGGGCUAGCUUACCACCAUCCACAGCAGGGAUUCUAGUAUCUUUCCCAGAAACCCCAAUAUUCUGUCCAGGUAAACAUCUCUAAUAUGGCUAUAUUGCUCUCGACAAGGUUCACUUGCCAUUAUUACUAGCAAUAAAGCUGACCAAAUAAAGCAAGAAAGAUAGUUACAGUAAGUCUAACAUUCAGCCUGUCUGCUGCAACACAACAGCUUUGAAAGCACACUUUAUAGCAGGCACUAACUCAACAGGGUUAGUGCAGGAAUAUUCACAAAGCAUCCAGCAGUUGUUCAUCUCCCCUCACCAAAAAAUAAAUAAAUAAUAAUAAUAAUAAUAAUAAAAGAAAUCAUUUUGCUGUUUAGGCCAGAGAACUAGGAAGCGAUGGCACAUACCGUAAAAGAUUUUCAGCACCAGCUCUCAUUCUUACUGCUCUCAAGAUCUGUUGGUUUAAGACAGCUCUUUGGUUUUGUAGUUUGCUUCGACCAGUCUCAGCAAGAGGAUUACAUCCCUGAAAUUAAGGAAACAAGUUUUGUUGUUGUUACAGGAUUCUGAAAAGUGAGUAAUGCUGUAUUUGAAAGAACUUUAAUGGCAUGGGUUCUGUAUGAAUACCAGUUACCUACACUAACAUCAGUAACAAAUGAUUGUUUUGACAGUAUUUCUUUUCUCAAUCUUAUUAAAAAACAAAAGAGACGCCAUGACCAAAGCAUUUGACACUAAAAUACAGGCUGAAAAUAUCUGGUUUAAGGCUUAUGCACAUCUUUGAGCCAGUCUGUUCUCCCCUAAAAAUCUUCUGAAGCUACUGUCCAAUUACAACUGAAUUUGACGAAGUGCUAUUAAAUUCCUACAGUUCGUUUAAAAAAAAUAAAUAAAUAAAUAAAUCUGACAAGGCAAUAAGUCUUAGUAAUGCUCCUCUUAACCUUUGUGAAAUAUUUGAGUUUCAUACCAAGAGAUAAAGCCUUGAAAUACAAAUUUGUCAGAAAGCAGGAUAUGUAGCACCACAGCUCACACCUUUAAGAAUUUUUCUAAGAAUCUCUGUUCUUGUUCCUUCUGGUGCUCAAACCUUUGUAUUCCAGUGAGCAGUGAUAAGAUAAAACUACUACAGAUGAAUAGGAUUGCAUGUUUGUCUGACUUUGAGAGGAACACACUCUUAACACUUUUUUUUUCUUUUUUUUAAAACAAAAGUUUCAGUUCCACUGUUGUCAUUUUUUUUUUUUGUUUUUCCUCUUUGCCUCUGCUCCCCCCUUCUUUUAAAAAGGCUUCUGUCUUUGAACAUUAAUACUCAUUACAACCAACCAGCACAUCCCUACAGCCUUAACUACUGAUUCUGAAGUAAGCUCACUCUUUAUUAAGGUUUACCCUUAAAUGAAGUAUGCCCUUUUGUGUGGCCUUGCUGGGUGUCAAGUUUAGCUGGGUCCUGCUAGAUCACGCACUACACACAGAAUAGGCUCAGCUCUGUCCAACUCAAGCUUUCCCACAAGUACCCCAGCCAAUAGAUUAGGCAGUUUUGGACCUCCCUCUUAGAUUUUGACUAGAAGAAUGUGGUUGUGACCUAACAGCAUUUAAAAGUUUCUCAACAAGCUCUAAUUAUGAGUGGUCGGGCAAUGACAUACCAGUACAUCAAAAGCAAGUAUUUAAAUAGAACAUGAAGUUCUAAUCAACAAGUCUUUAUUUGGGUUGGCAAGUGAAGGCAAAUUGACCUGGCAAUUGAGCAAUGAGCUGAUCAAUCCAGAUUACACAAGUUUAUCUGAGAAAGCCCAUACCCUAAUAUUAUUAAUUUUAAAUCCCUAGUUUUACAAGUUUGUUAAUAAAUAGGUAAAAUGACAGAAAGCUCGUGUAAAUGCCUUCCAAAGCGUCGUUUGCCAGAUAACUUGAAAAAACAUGUCACAUUAGAUUACUCUCAUCACAGAAAUGUUUCUACAAUGAAGGACCAAUUACAGCAGAGGCCUGAAACUUGGAUGUGCUGUCUAUACUCUCUUUGUGGAGAAUGCAUUGGUGGCAAACAGAACACAGAGAAGAUUGAACUUUUUACUGGAGAGUACGUGCAGGUGUAGCAAACUUGUUCAUUUACCUCAGAUUAGGAGGAGUAAUACUUAGGCAUACUUAAAAGUACAACAUGGUCUCAUAUUUACAAAUUGCUUUCUGCUCUUAGCCUGUAACUUCUUCUGGGCUGCUGCUGUUCUUCCCGCUUUGCUUUUUCUUCACUCUGUAUUGUAUGGUAUUUCUCCAGUACUGGUGUUCAAAGCCUUCUCCCCUUCCAUUUUAUCCAUGCCAUUUUUAAUUUCAACCUUGCCAAUGAUUUCAUCUUGCUUCCUGUAUUCAGCUUGAAUACUUGAUUCUUGGGCCUCUCACCUUUAAACACCUGUGUAGGUCUGUGAUGUUUUCUUUCAGCUUCUUGCCCAAACUGCUUAGUCCAAGCAUCCUUCCUAUAUGUAUCAUCAUGCUACCCUUGUCUUCAUUUUCUCUAUGGAGCUGCAACUUCUAUCCACACCUCCCUACCUUUCUGUAUGCCAAACAAGUUUCCUGACAUCAUUCAAAUACUCCUUUACAACUAUUUCUGGAAACUUUUUAGGGAGAUUAACUGCCUGAUUCGCAAGCCCACAAAGCUCAGCAGAAGUGUUUUGUUUAUUUCCAUGGACAUUUGAUCAAGGUCCAGCCCAGAAGUUAAACAGACUCCAGUUGAACAAUGAGCGCAAAACUGCAAUGACCUGAAACUCUGUGCAAAGAACAAAAGUGGCAGAGAUGUUUCCCUUCGUUUUGGGGCCAGCUACUAAUCUCCAUGUGAAGCUUUAAUGCAAAAAACAUCCCCUGGGGACUAAAAGGAGAAGGAGCUAACAAACUGAGGUAUCCAUAUCAACCCCAGUGGGUUGUAAGUGCUGCACUUUUGUCUCCCUGAUGAAAGGCUUCACAGGGACAGAGGAGUCUGUUUUCAGGAUAGACUCACCUGCUGCAAGCACAUACCUCCAUCCACUUCAAGGCCAAUAAGGAACUUGUAUUUUACCUUUUGGAAAAUUGUGCUUUUUAGUUCUCCUGCACACAGUAUGGGGACACUGCUAGUUUGUGUUCAUGUGCAGGCUUAAACUCUAUUUUUAUCAGGCUGCCAAAAAAAUCAAUACAGGCUGCUACCCAUCAGAACAGUGAAAAUAACCAACGCCUGCAAGUAAGAUGAUCUGAAGAAGAUUUGCCCUUGUGUGAAGCACAACUCUAUGCACUUAGGUGUUGUUUCUGAGACAGAUUUUUGUUUUCCUCCCUUUCUCAGCCAGCGUUUGCAGCUGGCUCACGUUUGCAUAACCCCAAGAAUGCUGAUGUACAUUAGAACAGCUGGCAGCCAACCUUCCCUGCAUUUUCCACACCUACUGUUUCACUUCUUGUCAACAGGAUGCUAGAUGGGUCAUUUAAUUACUGUUUAUUUCUUUGCAGAGUCGAGACAACUUGGAGAGUGAACUGGAUUUUACCCUUAUUAUCCGCCAUCUGUAAAUUAUUCAUUCAAUAACAACAUAGAAUUUUUAUUGCUAAUGAAGAUGCGAAAGUUACCAAUAAUAGGGUAUGAUUUAAGCAUUCAUUGCAUGUGUUUUUGGAAAAAUAGCUUUCCUGUAACAACAUUUCAAAUCAUGAACUAAGCUAUCAGUUUUAAAGCCUUCCCCCACCCUUGAAGUAUAGCUACACUUCACAAAGUAUUUGAAGUGUCUAAAUAUUAUUGUUCUUAGCUCCUGAAAAACUAGAAGCUCUUAAAAACCUGAAGUUCAAUUUGCUAGCUACUUUUACUUCUUCCUGCUUGGUUGAGCUGCAGAAUCAGGAAUCUGGUAUGUUUUUAAUACCUCUUUUUCAGAAGCAAGACCCAUACACCAACAGUUACAGAACCUUAACAUUUGUUAUUUAUGUACCUAGUUAGAUAAAUUCUCAGAAGAAACAGACACUGAUAUUAAACAAACAAACAUGCAUCUCCUGAUGAAGGCUGGCCUAUCCAGGGCCAAUGUUUCAUAGCAAUCCUCUGACUAAUUAAUGGAGUGUGCUGACAGAUUCUAAUAGGAUUCCUGCUCAUCUGUUGUUAGAAUUAAUGCCUGAGCUUAGGUGGCUGGAUAUCCCACUGGUUUUUAUUUUUAAUCUUGUAAACAUUGUCCUACACGUGCUUAUUUGGCAAACAGCUGCAUUAUGAAUGCCUGUGGGAUCUCGGUGCGACUUGCUGUCUCUCAGACCAGGCACAGCCUGCUUAACAGCAGGAGGUCAUGCAGAGCUGGAAAGCAGCUGAUGGACUGUUCAGGGCUCACAUGGGAUUUGGGGGAGAUUUUAUUCUUCAGAUUACACAGAAGCAGAAAGGGUAGCCUGGCAAACCUGCAGUCAAGUACUCCCGGUUAGCUGUCAGUGGACAACAUCUUGCCUCUGUGCAAGGAACCAGUGCUCACCUCCCACCUGACAGAGCCUUCAGACCCCCAGUGUGCGGGGUACAAGCAGUAUCUUUGUGGUUAUCUGAGGUUAGGAGUGAUGGAAGGAAACUUUCAUGGAAGGAAAACAGCUGUCAAAAACACAGGUCCCAAAUAAAGAAAUACCUGUGUUAAACUUGAAUGCCUAGGAGUUAUUUCUCUAAAAUAGAAACAUAAGGUCAGAUAUCCAGUUGUGAUGCAAACAAAAAUCAUGACUGUUUGCCUAACAAUGAGCAAUCACAGGAAGCAUCUGAAGUUAGCAUAAGUAUGACUUGUGAAGCAGUGGUUUGAACUUUUAAGAUGAGCCGCGUACUGUCUGAAGGUGACACAGAGUUGAAACUGGGUGUGCCUUCUUCCUUAAAAUAAAACAUUCCUUUCCAGCCAGUGCAACCUGUGCUGCUUGUAAAGCCCUGUGGAGUAUGCAAAUGGCCAUAGCCUCCAGAUAUUUAAAUGUGUAUGUGACUUAACUUACGGAGGUAAAUUCCUUGGCUGCAAUAGAGUUUAUGGUAAAUAAAUUCACACUAGUAUUUCUAGUAGGACUUCAGGAAAUAUACGUAAUAAUUUAGAAGUGAUCCUAUCUUCUACAAUUAAAGUUGCUCUUUGCAUAUUUCUGUUGGUUCAUUGUUGAAGUUUUAGCCAUAUACUGCAAAUCUUUCAAUAGUAGGUGUUUUUUAUCUGUGGUUAAAAUAAGGGGGAGAGGGGUGAAGAAGAUCUGGUCUUCUGGAGCCCAUACCAUAAGCAAUUGUUUUACAGAUCUAAGCACCUGGCCAAAUUAUUAAUGUAAACUUUCAGAAUUAAUCUUUGUAUUAAGUUCCAAAUACGUAUUUUCUGUACAAUAGUAUCUUGUUGCACCACUCACUAAUCAACAGGAAAAAAAAAAUCAGUAUUCCAUCAGAGAAGUCUGUCCCCUGAUGAACCACAUUUCAGAGGAUUCCUUAUCUCACAUGCAGGUCUACUUUCAGUUUUAGGUCUUUUGAAUUUGUAUACAACGAGCGGUCAGGGCAUGGCAUGAAGUGGUGCAUGAAUCAUCACAACAUUGUUUCUGUCCCUGCUAGACACAUGGAAAGAGAACAAACAGGCAAAUAAAUAUUCCUGUGUCAAUGCUAAUGUUAAUGGUUGCCUGGCUACUAAUGACUACAGACUUCCAGCCCAGUGGAAGCACAGGUGCAGCAGGUUGGUAAACUGAGCCAUUAAGCACAGCGGGGCAGGGGGAAACCCUACAGAAGAAAGCCCAAAAGCUAAGGAGUGGAAGGAGAGAGGAUUAAUCAGGGAAGUGCUGACUCACAAGCAGGUUACCAUACCUAUCAUCAUUUUCAGCCUGGUGCUUUAUUUACAGAACUGCCUGUGUUCUGUUUUUAGCCCUUUCCCCUGGCAGGCAGGACUAAUAUGUACUGUCUUUCUUUCUGAAUCACUAGUUUGGUCUAGAUGGCAAUUUUCUAGUCUCACAGACCAAGCCAAAGCCUUUAGAAAGGUUGAAGAAAACAAGCAUCUCCGCUCACCUGACCAGCAUCUAAAGAUUUAUUAAGCUAGCUGUCCAGCUGCUCUGCCUGCGUGCAACACAAUGUACUGCUAUCCAAAACAACCACACUGAAGAAGGGACGCUCUGUGCUGUACCACCAGCAGGUAUCUGGAGACCUACAGAAAGCAUAAGCCUGAAAAAUGAACUAAGGCUUUAUCUUAUCUAUUGCAGCUUCCCGAUCAGGAAACUUGAAAAGUUACAAUCUGCAUAAGGAGUUAUAAAGCAAUAAACCAAGGUGGCAAAGAUGUAUUAAAAAGAACUUGCUAGAAAUCUCUUCCUUCCUCUGCUCCAAGCCAACAGGAAAAGUCGCAGGACUGGUAAAACUCUACUGAGAUCACCAUGCAAGUGUUGGAUCCUCUGGCUGGGUGAACACAGCUUUAGAACCAUCCUGUGUUCACCCUAUUGACCUGUUCUUUGGGUUACUUUGUGGUACCAUACUGGUUUAGUGGGGUGCUGUUAUCAUGGGAAGGGAGUGGACAUCAGCUUGGAAAACAGAAUUGUCUUUCCCAUGAGAACUCAAGAGUAACUAAAAAAAAAAAAAUAGGAAGAGGUCUGAGCAGCCAAGCAAUUCACAGAGCUAUGGAAAGCUUAAAGACCGACUUCCCAGAAGUAUAAGCAGCAUCUCAGUUUUGUCACUCUUUUCUACUGGUCACGGAGAUUCUUGCAUGGGAGGAAAUACUGGGAGUGGACUUGAAUGGAGGGCUGGCAUAAGCAUGCUCGAUUCACAGGGUCACAGCCAAAACCAAUGAAAGAACGUGAAACUCUGCGUGGAAGAGGUCGAGGCACAAAGCUAGUCAUCUGUGAGCACUUGUACCACCCAGAACUAUGAGUGCAGUGUGCCCUGGUAUUGUACCAUGGGGUAAACUGAAUUACACUCUCAACAUGUAAUGGGCGGAGAUAAACAAGACAGUAGCAGGACCAGCUUCCUGGGGCAUUAUCUUCCCAGAAAGCAAGAAGCUCCAUCUCCUCUUUGAUGGAAAGCCCUAGUAGGGUACCUCUACCACCUUGCCAUAUCCUCUCCAGGACAUCAGCAAGGAUUUAAAAAAAAAAAAAAUUAAAAAAAAAAAUCCUCACUAAUCAACUAAUGAAACAGUUGAAGAAACUUCUUUUUCUGAGAAGUGUUGUAAGGGGAAUGGAGUAAGGGCAAUAUUGACAGAGUUCUGUUAUACGUAGUUUUAACAGAACGAGGUGUGCAAUCAUACAGGGGAUCUAUUUAAAAAAAAGUGGGGAAGCCCUCAGGAAGAAGAGGAAACUGCAAUUUGCAUAUAGAAAGAUGAGGGGCCUUUGCCAUGGGGAGGAAAGAGAGAAGGGACACAAAUAUGGGUUAAGAGGAGGAGAAAGGUCACUGCAGGAGAACGGUAAAAGGAAGCCUGAGGGAUGGUGCAGGGAGUGGCCAGGAGAAGCUGCCACCGUCAUAUCUGAGACAGACCUGGCAGAGUCACAGCAAGACUAACUUUCUAGCGUGGCAACAGGUCCGAAAGCAGGAAGGAGGAUUGUAUUUCUGUUUCCACAUUUCUGCUCAUUGCCCUUUACACAGGGCCAGUCAUAGUUUUACAGGACCUCCUCCCUAUAGAAAAAAAGCUAAACAAGAAUUAAGGAAAUAAUUUUUUUACAUAUUGCAUCUUGGGUAUAUUCAGUGUCACUUUCUGGUAUGUUGUAUUCAAGACUACAAAAGGGUACUAUAUAAACUUUGAGUAUACUUCCCACAUCAAUUCAUUCAUCACAAGAAAAUAUCAGAGUCUAGAACAAAUUGAUAUAUUAAUUGAUAUAUUAUACGAACUACUCACUCAGAUUUCUCAGUGUUAAAAUUGCAUUGCAUAUAAUCUGGCAGAGUACAGAAGACAACCACACUGCAUAAAGAAUAUUUGGAAGCCCUUCUGUGAGCAGUACUGAUAUAAAGCAAGUGGUUUCACCUUGCUCCACAGUUUUUAGAACAAAGAUCAAUUAAAUAAGCAUCUUUCAAUCUCAAAACACAAGUAACAGCCUUGGAAACCAAUGUGAUUCUGCACCAAUGAUUCUGGUGUUCUUUCAGCGAAAAUAGGUAGUGUGAUUUUAAAAAGGGAAGGGAAAACAAUGUGAAGGAGCUCUUGAGAGGUGGGGGAGAAACCCGUGGACACACGUGACCAGUUCAAUCAGUUUGUUACAUUAAGUCAUCUAGCAUACCAUUCAAAUGAACACGUAAGGUCUAAAGAGCAAUUCUAUCAAAGUAACUUCUUGGAUCACGGCUUAAAUCUGUACAACAUUCCAGAAGGCUUUUUUCCUCUUUAAAAGUUAGUUUGUUUUCUUCUGGAUGGAAGGUCUGAUCUUUGAGACCAUUCAACUAAUGUAUAACAAGGAAUACUGGUUUUCCGUUUACAUUUAACUUUUAGGGAUAGAAGGCUUUGAGCAUCUAGCUUGAUCUGAAGUUUGCAACUGUAUUAAAGAUAUGUAGGAGCUUGAUGAGCCUUUAAAAGAUCUCCUGAGUGAACAGUGUAAACAAAGUGUGCUACUGCAACUCUGGCUCAGCCAGAUUUGUUUAACAUCAGUUUCAUACCCAUUUUAUAGUGGUUUAAGACAAGUGAUCUAGAAGCGGGAAAGAUGUCCAUAAACAGAUAUAAAAUUGAUCUUGGAUACAGUAUUUUUAUAUUAGAAAAGCCUUUUACCUUUUCAGCGUAUGAAGUUUACACAGACCUAAUGUUGUUUCAUUGAACCUAUCCCCAGUGUACAGUAACGUCAUCAAGAAGGACCCAGCCCUCCAGUCAGUCUGAGUACAGCAGGUAUAUUCCUCUUACGACUUACAAAGCACAACGUGACUGUUAAACUGCAGCCUGUCCCCACCAGGAAGAAAAAGUGGGCAAGACAACUUGUAUCUAACUUAACAAAAACUUGUCAAGUUCCACUGACAUGCCUACUACCAAGGCAGCCCGCAGGCAUCCAGUACUCUAGAAAGUAUAGCUGUGAAAACUCUAAAUAAUUACAACUUUGCCACACUUCAUGAUUUCCUGCUGUGGACUACUAAGUGAUUACUCACCAUAUAUUAUAGUAGGAUUACUCAAGUGAAGAAACCAGACAAGAUUUGGUCAAAGUUUCGCUUCAGUCUGCCUAGCUGUUUAUGUGGCAGUGCCGAUUCCUCACAGCACGGCAG